AUUGAACGCUGGCGGCAGGCCUAACACAUGCAAGUCGAACGAGUGGCGGACGGGUGAGUAAUGUCUGGGAAUCUGACUGAUGGAGGGGGAUAACUACUGGAAACUGUAGCUAAUACCGCAUACCAUCAGAUGUGCCCAAAUGGGAUUAGCUUGUUGGUGGGGUAAAGGCUCACCAAGUCGACGAUCCCUAGCUGGUCUGAAAGGAUGACCAGCCACACUGGGACUGGGACACGGGCCAGACUCCUACGGGAGGCAGCAGUGGGGAAUAUUGCUCAAUGGGCGCAAGCCUGAUGCAGCCAUGCCGCGUGUAUGAAGAAGGCCUUCGGGUUGUAAAGUACUUUCAGCGGGGAGGCGUUACCCGCAGAAGAAGCACCGGCUAACUCCGUGCCAGCAGCCGCGGUAAUUC
rnacentral:rRNA from 1 species